GCGGGGGUGCCUGAGGGGACUAAAGGGCCGGACUUAAGAUCCGAAAAAUGAGAAAUCCGGUAGCCGCAGGGCUUUCAGGGGUUCGAAUCCCCUCCCCCGCA
rnacentral:tRNA from 1 species